UACAGAGGUCUCAAGCGUUGUUCGGAUUCAUUGGGCGUAAAGGGUGCGUAGGCGGUGAGGUAAGUCGGAUGUGAAAUCCCGGGGCUCAACCCCGGAACUGCAUUCGAUACUGCUUUACUUGAGGACUGGAGAGGAGAUUGGAAUUCACGGUGUAGCAGUGAAAUGCGUAGAUAUCUGGAGGAACACCGGUGGCGAAGGCGGCAUCCUGGACCAACACUGACACUGAGGAGCGAAAGCCAGGGGAGCAAACGGG
rnacentral:rRNA from 1 species